rnacentral:misc_RNA from 1 species
AAAGUCGUAACAAGGUUUCCGUAGGUGAACCUGCGGAAGGAUCAUUAAAGCGCCGCCGACGUCGACCCCAACCGCCUGGCUUGAGAUAUAGUCUAGGCGGUGCUGGAGGUCGCCGGCAGUUGCCCAUUCUUGCCUACUGACCCAGUUGCCUCGGUGUGCCGUUCCCUAGCGGACGGUCGGAAGCCAUAGGACCAGGUUGUCCCCGUGGCCCUGACCAGCGCACGCCGACGGACAGUCUAAAAUCUUUACAUAUCGGCCCUCUGAGCGUAUAAGCAAAUCAAUUAAAACUUUCAACAACGGAUCUCUUGGUUCCG